GCCCGGAUGGCGGAAUUGGCAGACGCGCUGGACUCAAAAUCCAGUAUCUUCGGAUGUGGGGGUUCGACUCCCCCUCCGGGUACAA
rnacentral:tRNA from 1 species